rnacentral:piRNA from 1 species
UAAUUUACUCUGUUAUGAGAUGCCAUACACC